rnacentral:rRNA from 1 species
GUGAAAUUGAACUCGCUGUGAAGAUGCAGUGUACCCGCGGCAAGACGGAAAGACCCCGUGAACCUUUACUAUAGCUUGACACUGAACAUUGAGCCUUGAUGUGUAGGAUAGGUGGGAGGCUUUGAAGUGUGGACGCCAGUCUGCAUGGAGCCGACCUUGAAAUACCACCCUUUAAUGUUUGAUGUUCUAACGUGGACCCGUCCCG